rnacentral:ncRNA from 1 species
AGCACUAUUCGUGAUGAAAGUGCUGGCAUAUGUAAAUCCGACGUGCUUCACCGCACGGCCUGCGUGGCUGGGGAUUAC